CUACACUCUCCUCCAGCCUCCCCUGACCACACUCGCAGAUCCAACUCCUCUGGGCCAGCUCACCCAGGACAGGUAGACAAACAGCUGUCCAGCCAAAGAGUCACAACUGGUGACUGCACAUGGACACACCAUCACCAUCCAGAGUCCAGAGUUUACAUUAGGGCUGAUUCUUGCUGUCAUGUGUUCCAUGGGUUUAGAUGUACAUAUGAUGACACACAUCCAUCAUUAGAGGAUCACAGAGCAUCUUCGCAGCCCUAAAAAUCUAGGCUCUAUGUAUUCCUCUCUCCAUUCCCCCACCAACACUUGAUCUCUUAGUGUCCACAGUUUUGCCUCCUCCAGACCGUCAUACAGUUGGAAUUACAUAGUUUGUAGCUUUUUUAGAUUGUCUUUCACUUAUUAAGAUUCAUUUUAGUUUCCUCCACAUUGUUUCAUGGAUUGAUAAUCCAUUUCCUUUUGCAUGAAUAAUAUUCCAUUGUCUGAAGGCACCAGAGUUUAUCCAUUUACCUGCUGAAGGACAUUUUGACGGAUUCCAAGUUUUGGCAAUUAUGAAUUAAACUGCUAUAAAACUCCACGUGCAGGUUUUUAUGUGGACGUAAGUUUUUUACUCCUUUCAGGAGAUACCAAGGGGCAUGACUGCCGGAUCACAUGGUAAAGUGUGUUUAGUUUUGUAGGACACUGCCAAACCAUCUUCCCAAGUGGUCAUUUCUGUAUCCCCACCAGUGAUGAAUGAGCUCCUGUUGUUCCAUUUUAUCAGCAUUUGAUGCUCUCAGUGUCCCAGAUGUUGGUCUAAGAAGUGUGCAGUGCUUCUCGUUGUUUUAACUUGUAGUUUCUUGAUGGCAUACGAUUGAAGGCAUCUCUUCAUAUGCUUCUUUACCAUCUGUAUACUUUCUUUAGUGAGGUGUCUGUAAGGUCUUUGGCCCCAUUUUUUUCAGUAUAAAUUCAAAAGGUUUCCUGUCCCAAAUGCCGCAGAAAAAUGGAUCAAAAUAUGUGGACAAGUUUUAAGAAGAAAGAAUUCUAUAUGUUGACAUUGAUGUCUAUUUAACUGAUCAAAAACAAAGUCCUAUUACUUUGUCUUGGUGGAAUUUCAAUAAUAACAAAUCAAUCCCGGAAUUUUCUUUCUAAAAAUCACUUAAAUCUAAGCAUAUUGUAAUCUCACUUCCAAGUUUUAUGGUUCAUUUUUAAUCAGGUUUUUAUUUUCUAAUGGAGAUUUAAUUGUUCUCUUUACUAGUCCUUUAUCAGAUGAUUGUUUUCCAAAGACUUGUCCUAGUCUAUGACGGGUCUUUUACUCUUGAGUAUCACAGAGCAGAAGUUUUUAAUUUUAGUGAAUUCCAAUUUAUCAA
ensembl:lncRNA